GUGAGUCAUCGAGUCUUUGAACGCACCUUGCGCUCUCUGGUAUUCCGGAGAGCAUGCCUGUUUGAGUGUCAUGAACUCUUCAACCCACCAGUUUCUUGUUAAGCUGAGUUGGUGUUUGGAUCUUGAAUGCUGCUAUUAAGUUAGCUCAUUCGUAAUAUAUUAGCAUCUCAAUUUCAUAAUCGGAUUGACUUCAGCGUAAUAGAUCUAUUCGCUGAGGACACUUGUUAAGAGUGGCCGAAAAUGAAGAGUGGAAGCUUCAAAUCCUUCUAGUCAACCUUAGAUUAUGACCUCAGAAUCAGGCAGGAUUACCCGCUGAACUUUAAGCAUAUCAAUAAGCGGAGG
rnacentral:rRNA from 1 species